rnacentral:rRNA from 1 species
UACGGAGGGUGCGAGCGUUAUCCGGAAUCAUUGGGCGUAAAGGGCGCGUAGGUGGCCUGCUAAGCGUGCGGUGAAAGCUCGGGGCUCAACCCCGAGUCGGCCGUGCGAACUGGUGGGCUUGAGCACUGUAGAGGCAGGCGGAAUUCCGGGUGUAGCGGUGGAAUGCGUAGAGAUCCGGAAGAACACCGGUGGCGAAGGCGGCCUGCUGGGCAGUAGCUGACACUGAGGCGCGACAGCGUGGGGAGCAACAGG